rnacentral:rRNA from 1 species
UGGGGAAUAUUGGACAAUGGGGGCAACCCUGAUCCAGCAAUGCCGCGUGUGUGAAGAAGGUCUUCGGAUUGUAAAGCACUUUCGACGGGGACGAUGAUGACGGUACCCGUAGAAGAAGCCCCGGCUAACUUCGUGCCAGCAGCCGCGGUAAUACGAAGGGGGCUAGCGUUGCUCGGAAUGACUGGGCGUAAAGGGCGUGUAGGCGGUUUACACAGUCAGAUGUGAAAUCCCCGGGCUUAACCUGGGAGCUGCAUUUGAUACGUGUAGACUAGAGUGUGAGAGAGGGUUGUGGAAUUCCCAGUGUAGAGGUGAAAUUCGUAGAUAUUGGGAAGAACACCGGUGGCGAAGGCGGCAACCUGGCUCAUGACUGACGCUGAGGCGCGAAAGCGUGGGGAGCAAACAGGAUUAGAUACCCUGGUAGUCCACGCUGUAAACGAUGUGUGCUAGAUGUUGGGUAACUUUGUUAUUCAGUGUC